rnacentral:pre_miRNA from 1 species
GCAGCAACGGCUCCCAGAGCUGACCAAUGAGGCCAUUGACAACCGCCUGCCGAUUCUCUUUGAAGAAGGCGAGCGACUUGUCGCCCGAAUACAGCGCCCGAAAUUUUGUCACGAUCCAGUCACCGGCGUGCGCUUCGAUGUGCUGUAACACAGGUCGCGGCGUAGCUACUCUUAAGGCCUCAACCAAAGGGCCUUUGCGGCGUUUCACGGUUAUGUUCGAAGUCGGUACUAACAAUCUGAACCAAAGUCGGAGCCCAAGUCUGAACCAAAGUCGUUUGGUUCAGACUGUUAGUGCCGACUUUGGUUCAGACUGCUAGUGCCGACUUCGAACAUAACCGUGAAACGCCGCAAAGGCCCUUUGGUUGAGGACUUAAGAGUAGCUACGCCGCGACCUGUGUUACAGCACAUCGAAGCGCACGCCGGUGACUGGAUCGUGACAAAAUUUCGGGCGCUGUAUUCGGGCGACAAGUCGCUCGCCUUCUUCAAAGAGAAUCGGCAGGCGGUUGUCAAUGGCCUCAUUGGUCAGCUGUGGGAGCCGUUGCUGC